rnacentral:misc_RNA from 1 species
UUGAAACAUUGUAAAGAAAGUUGAGCUGGCUCUUCAAGGGCAUGUGCUCGCUUUCUUUCAAUCUUCAUCCACCUGUGCACUCUUUGUAGAAGGGCUUAAAGAAACGACGCAAGUCGAAGUAAUUAGCUCUUCUAUGUUCUUAUAAACUCUUAAUGUAUGUCUUUGAAUGUCUUUUAUAGGGACUUAAGUGGCCCUUUAAAAACUAUA